GAUGGACUGACCUCUGGUGUACCAGUUGUUCCGCCAGGAGCAUAGCUGGGUAGCUAAGUCGGGAAGGGAUAAACGCUGAAGGCAUCUAAGCGUGAAGCCCACCUCAAGAUAAGAUUUCCCAUAGAGUAAUCUAGUAAGAUCCCUUGAAGAACACAAGGUUGAUAGGUGAGAGGUGUAAGUGUGGUAACAUAUUUAGCUGACUCAUACUAAUAGAUCGAGGGCUUGACCAA
rnacentral:rRNA from 1 species